UACGUAGGGGGCAAGCGUUGUCCGGAAUUAUUGGGCGUAAAGAGCUCGUAGGCGGUUCGUCGCGUCGGCUGUGAAAACCCGGAGCUCAACUCCGGGCCUGCAGUCGAUACGGGCGGACUUGAGUGUUGCAGGGGAGACUGGAAUUCCUGGUGUAGCGGUGAAAUGCGCAGAUAUCAGGAGGAACACCGGUGGCGAAGGCGGGUCUCUGGGCAACUACUGACGCUGAGGAGCGAAAGCGUGGGGAGCGAACAGG
rnacentral:rRNA from 1 species